rnacentral:rRNA from 1 species
UACGAGGGGGGCAAGCGUUGUUCGGAAUUAUUGGGCGUAAAGGGUGCGUAGGCUGUGCGGUAAGUCACCUGUGAAAUCUCUGGGCUCAACCCAGAGCCUGCAGGCGAAACUGCCGUGCUGGAGUAUGGGAGAGGUGCGUGGAAUUCCCGGUGUAGCGGUGAAAUGCGUAGAUAUCCGGAGGAACACCGGUGGCGAAGGCGGCUUCCUGGACCGACACUGACGCUGAGGCGCGAAAGCUAGGGGAGCAAACGGG